rnacentral:rRNA from 1 species
UUGAACGCUGGCGGCAGGCCUAACACAUGCAAGUCGAACGGCAGCACGGGAGCAAUCCUGGUGGCGAGUGGCGAACGGGUGAGUAAUAUAUCGGAACGUGCCCGGUCGUGGGGGAUAACGUAGCGAAAGCUACGCUAAUACCGCAUACGAUCUACGGAUGAAANCGGGGGAUCGCAAGACCUCGCGCGAUUGGAGCGGCCGAUAUCAGAUUAGGUAGUUGGUGAGGUAAAGGCUCACCAAGCCGACGAUCUGUAGCUGGUCUGAGAGGACGACCAGCCACACUGGGACUGAGACACGGCCCAGACUCCUACGGGAGGCAGCAGUGGGGAAUUUUGGACAAUGGGCGCAAGCCUGAUCCAGCAAUGCCGCGUGCAGGAUGAAGGCCUUCGGGUUGUAAACUGCUUUUGUACGGAACGAAACGGUGAGCUCUAAUACAGUUUGCUAAUGACGGUACCGUAAGAAUAAGCACCGGCUAACUACGUG